AGCACAGCAACGGGUGGAGCGUGCGGUUUAAUUGGAUUCAACGCCGGAAAACUCACCGGGGGCGACGGUUACAUGAAGGCCAGGCUGAUGACCUUGCCUGAUUUUCCGAGAGGUGGUGCAUGGCCGCCGUCAGUUCGUACCGUAAGGCGUUCUGUUAAGUCAGACAACGAACGAGACCCUCAUCUUUAAUUGCUACUAGUAAGUUCGCUUACUGGGCACAUUAAAGAAACCGCUGGCGAUAAGUCAGAGGAAGGCGAGGGCAACGGUAGGUCAGUAUGCCCUGAAUCCUCCGGGUUACACGCGCGCUACAAAGGCUAGGACAAUGAGCUUCAACACCGAGAGGUGAAGGUAAUCUCGAAACCUAGUCGUAGUUCGGAUUGAGGGUUGAAACUCACCCUCAUGAAGCUGGAAUCCGUAGUAAUCGCGGAUCAACAUCCCGCGGUGAAUAUGCCCCUGCUCCUUGCACACACCGCCCGUCAAACCAUGCGAGUUGGGUUUGAGUGAGGAUGUAGUUUUUGCUACGUUCAAACUUAGNCUUAGUAAGCGGGGUU
rnacentral:rRNA from 1 species